UUACCGUCAAGUCAUGCUUGCAAGCAUCUGAAGUGAGAGUUGACUCGAUUACAUGACACCUAAACAGAGAUAAUCUGCUCGCAAUCAGUUGAUGAAGGACUGACCUGUACAUUUGACAUUAAGCCUUCAUUGGUAAACUACAGAUUGAUGCAACCUUUUGCAUUUAUUCACAUGAUCAUUUAACCCUAAACUGCCACUGGUCCAUGACUAACUUCCAGUGCCCCCGGUCCAAACUGGCUGUUUCUCUGUGCUCUCUGUCUGCCUUAUUUGUGAAUUAACGUCCUACUUUCCUCCCUGUAAGUACCCAUAAUGUCUUCAUCUAAAGCUGUUACAUCAUCAGUAGUCAUCAGGGAAGCCCUAUGGUUGAUACAGUAUGUUUGAGCUCAAUUA
rnacentral:lncRNA from 1 species